rnacentral:tRNA from 1 species
UGCGGCGGUGCCCUAGCCCGGUAGGGGGGUGGCCUGCUAAGCCACUGGGCCGAUAAAGCCCGCGAGGGUUCAAAUCCCUCCCGCCGCGG